UCUCCGUUGGUGAACCAGCGGAGGGAUCAUUACAGAGUUUUUAACUCCCAAACCCAUGUGAACCUACUAUUUUGUUGCCUCGGCGGGUUCUGCCUCCCAUCUCGGGAGCAGGCUCAAGCCCGCCGGUGGCCCCUAUAAACUCUGUUACUUAUAAGCAAUCUGAGCGUUUUCCAAAAAUAAAGUUAAAACUUUCAACAACGGAUCUCUUGGUUCUGGCAUCGAUGAAGAACGCAGC
rnacentral:misc_RNA from 1 species